GCUUGCUGUGUGAGUGGGGACUUAGCCGGGAUGGACGAGCGUCGUCGUGUCAGGGCGGCGGUCGAGCUAAGUCCCUUCUCCUCUCCGCUACCGCUCCGACGCCUCAAUCUGAUUUUACGGGUUCGCGAAGUCCACAUUCCGUCACUAUGAUCGCGCAAGUCAUUUGCCAGAGAGUCGCUCGAGGCGAACAGAGAAGAUGGCUGUGUCAAUGGCGUCGUAGAUGGCAGCAGCUCUGCGUCCUUGCGUGUUUUCUCCUGUGACUGAGGAGGACUCACGUCAACCUCAUCCUUCUUCUGCAAACAUUACACAAUACGUGCAAUACCGCUCAGUGGGACUUCAACAUUUUUUGUGGUGAUUUUAGGAACAUGGUUCUUAUAACGCUAAUGUAUUCUUUAAAACAACAAAAAUGCGUAAAAUGAAUGGAACGUGGUAAGGUUAUGUAUAUGCUCGUCUGCAUGUCUCAUGUCCCGAAGUAUCUCACAGUUUUUGAUAAUAUGGUGUAUGUACAUCUUCGAAAUAAAUCAUUUUCCAUGAUUUUA